rnacentral:rRNA from 1 species
UACGUAGGGAGCAAGCGUUGUCCGGAAUCAUUGGGCGUAAAGCGCGCGUAGGUGGCCCCAUAAGUCCGCUGUGAAAGUCAAAGGCUCAACCUUUGAAAGCCGGUGGAUACUGUGGGACUAGAGUACGGAAGAGGCGAGUGGAAUUCCUGGUGUAGCGGUGGAAUGCGCAGAUAUCAGGAGGAACACCAAUAGCGAAGGCCGCUCGGUGGGACGGUACCGAAACUUAGGCGCGAAAGCGGGGGGAGCGAACAGG